rnacentral:rRNA from 1 species
CAUUAGCCAGAUGGUGAGGUAACGGCUCACCAUAGCAAUGAUGUCUAGGGGUUUUGAGAGGAAGGCCCCCCACACUGGGACUGAGACACGGCCCAGACUCCUACGGGAGGCAGCAGUGGGGAAUAUUGGACAAUGGAUGGAAAUCUGAUCCAGCCAUGCCGCGUGCAGGAAGACGGCCUUAUGGGUUGUAAACUGCUUUUAUACGGGAGCAAUAAGGGUUACGAGUAAUCCGAUGAGAGUACUGUAUGAAUAAGGAUCGGCUAACUCCGUGCCAGCAGCCGCGGUAAUACGGAGGAUCCGAGCGUUAUCCGGAAUUAUUGGGUUUAAAGGGCGCGCAGGCGGCGUGUAAAGUCUGGCGUGGAAGUCCCCGGCUCAACUGGGGGAUUGCGUUGGAAACUGGCACGCUUGAGUACGACAGGGGAUGGCGGAAUUCCAGGUGUAGGGGUGAAAUCUGUAGAUAUCUGGAGGAACACCAAUGGCGAAGGCAGCCAUCUGGAUCAGUACUGACGCUGAGGCGCGAAGGUGCGGGGAGCAAACAGGUUUAGAUACCCUGGUAGUCCGCACAGUAAACGAUGAGUGCUAAGUAUCGGAGGAUUCGGUGCUUAAGCUAACGCAGUAAGCACUCCGCCUGGGGAGUACGGUCGCAAGACUGAAACUCAAAGGAAUUGACGGGGACUCGCACAAGCGGUGGAGCAUGCGGUUUAAUUCGAUGCAACGCGAAGAACCUUACCAGGUCUUGACAGUGUAAAGAAUACUUAAGAGAUUAAGGGCUAAGAAUUAAGCUUGCUUAUUUCACUUUAUAAACAGGUGGUGCAUGGUUGUCGUCAGCUCGUGUCGUGAGAUGUUGGGUUAAGUCCCGCAACGAGCGCAACCCUUAUUGCUAGUUGCCAUCAUUAAGUUGGGCACUCUAGCAAGACUGCCGGUGACAAAUCGGAUGAAGGUGGGGAUGACGUCAAAUCAUCAUGCCCCUUAUGACCUGGGCUACACGCGUGCUACAAUGGCUAAUACAAAGAGUUGCAAAACCGUGAGGUAGAGCUAAUCUCAUAAAGUUAGUCUCAGUUCGGAUUGUAGUCUGCAACUCGACUACAUGAAGUUGGAAUCGCUAGUAAUCGUAAAUCAGAAUGUUACGGUGAAUACGUUCUCGAGUCUUGUACACACCGCCCGUCA